AAGUCGUAACAAGGUUUCCGUAGGUGAACCUGCGGAGGGAUCAUUACUGAGUUACUAAAAAACUCCCACCCUUUGUGAAUUUACUCUUGUUGCCUCGGCGUUGGGAAGCACCUACCCUGGAGGAGCUACCCUGGAGGAGACCUACCCUGGAGAAGAUUACCCCUCAGCUGAGAGGACCUACCCUGGAGAAGUUUUUUUCCACAGCACCUACCCUGGAGAUGCACUUUACACCACGCCGGUGGACUUUAUAACUCUGUUUUUUCCACUGAAUCUCUGAAAAAAUAACUAAAUUAGUUAAAACUUUCAACAACGGAUCUCUUGGUUCUG
rnacentral:misc_RNA from 1 species